GGAAAUCAGUUUCUGGCGGACCAUCACUUUUUGGUACCACACCGGAAACUGAGUAAAUAGCUGUGCUACAGUGCUAACAGUCAAGCCUGGAGCCGACGGAGAGCAGUUCAUUAGGUAUUUUCUGUGUAAAAUGUCGCUGUCAGUCCUCCAGCUUGCCUGUAAAACAGAAAAGCUGUUCCGGUCGAAGAAUUUAAACACGAAGCUCAGCACAGGUGAUAUCUGCCAGCUAGAUUCUGACUGGUUUUGGUUUUAAUUAUGGACACAGUGGAACGCAUGUGGCGCACGAGGUGCUGGACCGCACCUGGAGGGAGCUUCGGAGGAGAAGCCCUGACCUGACUCAUCAUGGAGGCACACAGACCUCCAUGUGGAGGACUGAUCCACAUUGAGAGUCCUCGUCUUACAGAUUCAGAUUGCUGAACCAGAAACAAGCGCAGUUCCAGUGCAGUAAAGCAGGCUUAUGCUGCCGGUCUACACACACACACCAGGCCGGAUGAAACAAGGUCAUGCUGACUUACCUACGGACUGUGAAGAAAACCACCAACGACAUUUGCUUCAUUCAUGCAGGCUGACCAGUGUAUGUUUCUGAAGCAGGAACACGAGAACAAUGGUCAGCUCCUUCACUCGUGGUAAGAAAUUAAAAAUAAGAAGUCAAAAUAACCAUUAUAGCUUUCUGUGAUCUGUUAUUGAAAUGUAGUUCCACAAGUGAAAGCAGUGUUUCAAACUAGAACCGCCUGCCGAUAAAUGUUUAUACUUCAAAUGUGUUGUAAAUAUGAAUGUGCUCCACUCUUCUGUCAUAAUAAACUCAUAACUGUCU